rnacentral:rRNA from 1 species
UACGAAGGGGGCUAGCGUUGUUCGGAAUUACUGGGCGUAAAGCGCGUGUAGGCGGGUCUUUAAGUCAGGGGUGAAAUGCCAAGGCUCAACCUUGGAACUGCCUUUGAUACUGGAGAUCUUGAGUCCGGGAGAGGUGAGUGGAACUGCGAGUGUAGAGGUGAAAUUCGUAGAUAUUCGCAAGAACACCAGUGGCGAAGGCGGCUCACUGGCCCGGUACUGACGCUGAGGUGCGAAAGCGUGGGGAGCAAACAGG